CUUUCUCAGUUUAAAACUGCCCCCCACCAAUCUUAUCACUAUUCUCCUGUUUAUGUGCUCCCUUCGAGUCCUGGGGAGCCCUCAGCACUUUGAGGUCCUUCUGAUGCAUCAUUUUGCUCUCUCUGCUGCUGUUACCUCACUCCAGCCCUCAGCUAGAAGAAAUAAUGUGAUUUCCUAAAACGUGGGAAUUAGCAAGUCAAGCCCAGAGAAUUAAAACUGCCCGGAGGCUCAGCUGCCCUGAAAGAAUCCAGUAAAACUCCAUCUCAAGCUAGCAAGAAGCGGAACACGGCAUCUAUUUUUGUUAUGACAUCCUUGAGGUCAGCCCAGCAACAGGGAGGGGAAGAAAUUAAAAGACCCAAACAUUUGCAAGACUGCUCGAUGUUUUAAGGACCUGUAAGGAGGCUGAGGAAUAAGACGUCUGACACAGAGAACUGUGGCUGAAACCUUCCUAAGACUGCUGCCAUUGUGCAAACCAAGUGCACACCAGUAGGAGAGCAGUGCCACAACCGAGCAAUGGCACAAAGCAUCACAGGAGGGGGAGAGAUGGCACCCAGCACAGUCCAGCUCCAUUAAGUCACGAAUCUGAGCUCCUGGGCAUCCACUCCAGUUAAUAAAUCUGUUGUCACCUGCUGAUGGCUGAAAGCAAGCUUAACAAAACUCUGACUGUGUUCUGAGUUGGAUAUCACAUUGUUCCAUAAGUUGUUCAGCACUGCGGAGAGCUCCCUCAUCCCACCGCCACGUGUGCGCCAUGGAGUGAGUUUGUUCAGCGUAAAUCCUCUUCUUUAGACUCAUUAAAGUGCGCCAAGCCUCUGUAAGAGUCAUUUGACAAACUCCCCUGAGUGGCAAAGUAGUGUUUAUUACGAUUAUUAUUACUAUUAUUAUUUUUCUCUCAGCUCCAUCUGUAAUGUAAACACCAUUAUGUUUUAAUUAUCUGUUUGAAAAAGAGAUUUAAAAGCGAAUCCCGCAGGAACCCGGGCAGCAUACACAAUGGGAUCCCCCUGAGAGCCGCCCGCUGGGUGAGCACAGGAGGCAGUGAUGCUCUGAAGGGAACACAGCUCAGCAGCACGGCCACCCACACCACCACCCCAUCCCACGGCAGUGGGUCUGAGUGCUCCAGAAGCGUGUUUUGUUCCUCUUGGUGCAUUGUCAACAUUAGGGGGAGGAAAAUGCUGGGGAAAAAUCCACCUUUCUCCACCUUUCAUAACGAGAUUGCCACCCAUUUAGCAGAUCAGGGACUCCAAGGAGCAUCAUCCUGGUUGCCAUGGUGCCCAGUCUCAGCCCGGCAGUGCCCAGCGGGAGCUCUGCAGCUGCACAUCACCAGCUCUGCUGGCUCUGCUGCUCCCCUUCUCCUCCCUCCCUCCUCAGCAGACCUGCCCUGCCACAGCAACAGGGAUCUCUGCACCAAGGACUGUGUUCCAAUGGGCAGCAUUUGGUUUGGAGGGGGACAUUCGGACUCACCCCAGUAAAGGAAAUGGGAAGGGUAAUUCAGGAAAACAAGACGUGCAGAUGAAUUCAUGAAUUAAAGACACUGCUGAAAGGAGAGGCACGCUGAGGGAAUGAAGUCAGAUCAAAAACAAGACAAGAAUGAAUUGUUGCAAAACCUGAAAAACAUUUCUCUCGCUUCUUAAGCCUGAAGUAAACUCAGCUCGGCGACCCCUUUUUCACACCCUUGCAUCAGGACGAACCCAUUUGCCAGUCCUCCUCCGCAAUGCAAUCACGCCGCUGUUUAAUGUUCUGCAUUUUCCAUUAUCGCUAAUCUGAGCUGAAGGGCAGAGCUCAGGCUGCUCCCAGCCCCUUCCCAGCAGCGCUCUGCCUGCGCAAGAGGGAACAGUGCCUGCACAACCCUCACCCUGCCCUCCUCUAAUGCUGAUUGCAGUGCUCAGCAGUGCACGACCGUCUUCAGGACUGCAAAACUCUCCUUCCUGCACUGCAGAGACCUCAAAACUCCCCCAGGAGAUGUGCUGUAACAUCAUGGGACGGCCUCAAAACCAAAGGGCUCCUGAAUAUCCUGCACUGAGGUCCUCCUGCGCUCUGCAAACCCAGAGUUCCUGUGGGAGGAAUGAGGCUGAGAAGACAUGAGAUGAGAAUAUUAACACCCCAGGGUUACCAGAUACAAAAAAAAUUGAUUUUUAAUAACUCUAACCAUCUCUUCAGCUUUCAUUAGUCCCUUCUUUGGCUUUAUGGUGCUGGGCAUGAAGAAUAUGAGGAUUUGAAGAAUUAACUGAGUUAAUGAGGGCUGAUUAUUAAUGUUCAGAGCUCAAUAAAAAAGGGGAGAGAAAUAAAACACAAAAAAUGAGCUGAAAAUAAGGGCGAUCUUUCAUUCCCCCAAAAUGAGAUACACUGAAUUAUUGUUAUAUUUAAGGCACCAAAGGAAUGGAAAUAAAUACCACCCAUUAGCUAUUGAAGAACCUGUGAAACUCAGUGCAAGCAGAUGUCCGAGUCAGAGGAAGAGGGUGCUAAUUAGGAAGCAGCACUGAGGACUGCUGCUGAGGCUUCAGGCCGCCCCUUUGGGGACAGCACGUAGAGCCCUGAGCACUGCAAGCAGCUCAUCAGAGCAGGAGAACCCGCUCUGUAUUUGGAAGCCACUUGGAACUCAGCUCAGCUCUAGUGGCUCUAGUGUUUGCUCCAGCAGAAGACCCAUUCCUGGGCACCUUCGAAUACCUGGCCAUGAAUUCCCCUUCUCUAAUGAGUGCUGUGCAGCAGAACCAUUGGUUCUCCCAUGUGUUCAGGUUGCAGAGUCUUCAGGGGAGGAAUUGCCUGUGGAAGUCUGAAUUCAGUCCAGUUACAACAACAGCACAGACCUCACAAACAGAAAUCCACACCUUCCUCCAUCCCAGUGCCCUCACCAGCCUCACCCUCACCAGAAAAGGAAAGCACUUCACUUAUCUGCAUAGAAAGAACCACAGAAUUGACUGUCAUUGCGCCUUCGCCAUGGGUGGGAUCGUCCAGGAUUGUCAGGGCUAAUGGUAAUUGAUGUUUCCUUUCACACCUGCUCUCUUUCCUGCUUUAUUAAGCCUCUGCAAACACCGCUGUCUCUGGGGAAGCAGUGGGAGUGGAGGAGGAAACCUAUGGAAGAGAACAAUUCCAGUUGUUCAGCGCAGCGCUUUGCUAAAUUGCAUCCAGCCUCUUUUGCAGAGUAAUAAAGUGUUGUCUGAAAGGAGGCAUGGAGUUUUAAUUUUCUCAUUGUCAGUGGAUGCUGUAAUCACGUAAUUAACAAAGUGCAGGAGAUAGUCACUUAAAGCAAGCCAAGAAAGCCAGCACACAGAGCAGAUGCUUGGGGGAGCGAACAACUUUUAUUUGUGCUCCUCCAGAACUGGAGAUCUUUUUAGUACUUAAAAGAUGGAGGAAUCGCAUUUGGAUAACAGCAGUAUCUACAAGGAGGAGAGUGCUUUGUUCUGCUGCUUAUCCCCUUAAACUUCCCAGUUCCAUUCCCCUGCAUUGCCCCACUCCAGCAUGGGUCCCCUAUGGGGUGGAUCCUCACAUCUGAAGUCGUUUCCCACCAACCAGGGGACAUCGAUCUCUGCUUCUUCUCCCACAGCCUCCAGGUUUCUCCCAUCCCAGCACUCUUCACUGUAUUUGUAUUUGUAUUUGUUGGGGUGUGUUUCAGGGUGAGGAGAUGUCAUCUAUUUGCAGGUGUAACUUUCAUCCUUAGCAGCCAUUGACCAAAAAAAGACAGUGUGGAGGAAGAGAGGUGCUGGUUUUUAUGCAGGAAAUGCCUCCUAAAAUCCGGGAACCCAGCAAACAAUUACAGCAGUGGAAGGAUAGUGGAGAUUUAGAGAUGCAAGAGCGCUGACAAAGGCUAAGCCUGACCCAUUUAUCUCCCAGCCCCUCUCAGAAUAUUUAACAGGAGUGAAGCACCUCGCAAAAGUGGAAUGGGUGAAUUUAAACCAUGGCCUCUUCUGUUCUGGCUUUUUAAUUUCACAUCCCAGGGAUCCUUCCCUCCCCAUCCACAAACGUGGAGUCCUCUUCAUCUCCAGAGAUACAUCACCUGCCUGUCCGCACCUCCACGCUGCUGAACUGGAAAGCUUUUGCUCAGUGGACGUUGCAGCUUUGCUACCUUUAAUUAGGAAGAGACUCCAUCCCCCAGGCUGCAGGCAGGGAACGCUGACGGUGGGAGCACUGUGGGGCCUGGGGAGUUGGUGUGUGGACCAAAGUGAACUCAGUGAAAUAUCGCACAUCCCAGCACUGUUCCUCCUGCUGUUUGCUGCUUUGAAGCUCCUUUGAUUAUCAGACUCCAUUUAAAAGUACUUGUUUGCUUUAUACCUCAUUAACCGAGAAAGAAAUUGCCCAACAGAGGCCAUAAUUUUAUGGUCCUGACCUGUGAAUGCUCUGUACUUAUAUGGCCUGGAGGAAAUCGUCAAGGUUUGCAGUAGUAUUUAUGGUAUGAUGGUGUUUAAGGGCCCCAGAUGAGAAUAAGACCUAGAGCACUGGGUCCUGUGCAGAUACUGUGAAAGGCAUUGUGUGAGAUUCAAGCUCAUGGCUUAAAACUGAGGGAGCAGACGUGCAGUGGGGCUGCAGGAUAAUGUGGGGCUGGAGGGCAGUGUGGGUCUGAGGCUGCUAACGGGCUAUGGGUACCACAGAGCCUGUCUGUGAGCAUUAAAGCAGAGCUGAAUGGAAUACAUCCAUCAUCAAG